UACGUAGGGUGCGAGCGUUGUCCGGAAUUAUUGGGCGUAAAGAGCUCGUAGGCGGUGUGUCGCGUCGGCCGUGAAAACCUGGGGCUCAACUCUGGGCGUGCGGUCGAUACGGGCAUCACUUGAGUUCGGCAGGGGAGACUGGAAUUCCUGGUGUAGCGGUGAAAUGCACAGAUAUCAGGAGGAACACCGGUGGCGAAGGCGGGUCUCUGGGCCGAUACUGACGCUGAGGAGCGAAAGCAUGGGUAGCGAACAGG
rnacentral:rRNA from 1 species